GUUAAGCGACUAAGCGUACACGGUGGAUGCCCUGGCAGUCAGAGGCGAUGAAGGACGUGCUAAUCUGCGAUAAGCGUCGGUAAGGUGAUAUGAACCGUUAUAACCGGCGAUUUCCGAAUGGGGAAACCCAGUGUGAUUCGUCACACUAUCAUUAACUGAAUCCAUAGGUUAAUGAGGCGAACCGGGGGAACUGAAACAUCUAAGUACCCCGAGGAAAAGAAAUCAACCGAGAUUCCCCCAGUAGCGGCGAGCGAACGGGGAGGAGCCCAGAGCCUGAAUCAGUGUGUGUGUUAGUGGAAGCGUCUGGAAAGGCGCGCGAUACAGGGUGACAGCCCCGUACACAAAAAUGCACAU
rnacentral:rRNA from 1 species